rnacentral:rRNA from 2 species
UGGCAGUCAGAGGCGAUGAAGGGCGUGCUAAUCUGCGAUAAGCGCCGGUAAGGUGAUAUGAACCGUUAUAACCGGCGAUACCCGAAUGGGGAAACCCAGUGUGACUCGUCACACUAUCAUUAACUGAAUCCAUAGGUUAAUGAGGCGAACCGGGGGAACUGAAACAUCUAAGUACCCCGAGGAAAAGAAAUCAACCGAGAUUCCCCCAGUAGCGGCGAGCGAACGGGGAGGAGCCCAGAGCCUGAAUCAGCAUGUGUGUUAGUGGAAGCGUCUGGAAAGGCGCGCGAUACAGGGUGACAGCCCCGUACACAAAAGCGCAUGUGCUGUGAGCUCGAUGAGUAGGGCGGGACACGUGGUAUCCUGUCUGAAUAUGGGGGGACCAUCCUCCAAGGCUAAAUACUCCUGACUGACCGAUAGUGAACCAGUACCGUGAGGGAAAGGCGAAAAGAACCCCGGCGAGGGGAGUGAAAAAGAACCUGAAACCGU